rnacentral:rRNA from 1 species
GAUGAACGCUAGCGGGAGGCCUAACACAUGCAAGCCGAGCGGUAUUUGUUCUUCGGAACAGAGAGAGCGGCGCACGGGUGCGAAACACGUGUGCAACCUGCCUUUAUCUGGGGGAUAGCCUUUCGAAAGGAAGAUUAAUACCCCAUAAUAUAUUGAGUGGCAUCAUUUGAUAUUGAAAACUCCGGUGGAUAGAGAUGGGCACGCGCAAGAUUAGAUAGUUGGUGAGGUAACGGCUCACCAAGUCAAUGAUCUUUAGGGGGCCUGAGAGGGUGAUCCCCCACACUGGUACUGAGACACGGACCAGACUCCUACGGGAGGCAGCAGUGAGGAAUAUUGGACAAUGGGUUAGCGCCUGAUCCAGCCAUCCCGCGUGAAGGACGACGGCCCUAUGGGUUGUAAACUUCUUUUGUAUAGGGAUAAACCUACUCUCGUGAGAGUAGCUGAAGGUACUAUACGAAUAAGCACCGGCUAACUCCGUG